rnacentral:rRNA from 1 species
CUCAGGAUGAACGCUGGCGGCGUGCCUAACACAUGCAAGUCGAGCGAUUCUCUUCGGAGAAGAGCGGCGGACGGGUGAGUAACGCGUGGGUAACCUGCCUCAUACACAUGGAUAACAUACCGAAAGGUAUGCUAAUACAGGAUAACAUAAGAGAUUCACAUGGAUUUCUUAUCAAAGCUCCGGCGGUAUGAGAUGGACCCGCGUCUGAUUAGCUAGUUGGUAAGGUAACGGCUUACCAAGGCGACGAUCAGUAGCCGACCUGAGAGGGUGAUCGGCCACAUUGGAACUGAGACACGGUCCAAACUCCUACGGGAGGCAGCAGUGGGGAAUAUUGCACAAUGGGCGAAAGCCUGAUGCCAGCAACGCCGCGUGAGUGAUGAAGGCUUUCGGGUCGUAAAACUCUGUCCUCAAGGAAGAUAAUGACGGUACUUGAGGAGGAAGCCCCGGCUAACUACGUGCCAGCAGCGGC